rnacentral:rRNA from 1 species
UACGUAGGGUCCGAGCGUUGUCCGGAAUUAUUGGGCGUAAAGGGCGCGUAGGCGGCCUUCUAAGUCGGACGUGAAAUCCCUCGGCUUAACCGAGGAACUGCGUCCGAUACUGAAAGGCUUGAAUCCGGGAGAGGGAUGUGGAAUUCCAGGUGUAGCGGUGAAAUGCGUAGAUAUCUGGAGGAACACCGGUGGCGAAGGCGGCAUCCUGGACCGGCAUUGACGCUGAGGCGCGAAAGCUAGGGGAGCAAACGGG